AGUGUUAUAUGAAGCAGGAAUAUUAUUAAAACGACAUGGAAAUUACCCUACUUAGUAAAGCAUCAUGGCUGUUUUCCCAGCUCGUUAAGUGGAAAACUACCUAUCUGCUUAAAUCGUCAACUCCUAAGCGAUGCAGAUCUGCAAUCGGCGCUGAUGCCACAAGAACUGAACCCGGCUUUCGUCCCAGAGAAGCUGUUUCAGGAUGCACCAUGGCGUGCAGUAUUUCCUCUCGGCAGACAACGACGUGAGUUAGAAGUAGCAGUGGACCAGCCACCGCCAUCUCCGACCAUAUCACAAAGCCUUAAGGUCUACAGUCGCAUGGCAACUUGCGUGUCUCUGGCUAUUGCUGCGAUUGUCGAAAUUAUUCUGUAUGUUGUUGAGUUUUAUACUGUCAGUUGAGUAAAUGAAUGGCUACAUUAAAA
rnacentral:misc_RNA from 1 species